rnacentral:rRNA from 1 species
AUACGUAGGUGACAAGCGUUAUCCGGAUUUACUGGGUGUAAAGGGCGUGUAGGCGGUUUAGCAAGUCAGAAGUGAAAUUCCCGGGCUUAACUUGGGCGCUGCUUCUGAAACUGCAGGACUUGAGUGCUGGAGGGGAUAGCGGAAUUCCUAGUGGAGCGGUAAAAUGCGCAGAUAUUAGGAAGAACGCCGGUGGCGAAGGCGGCUAUCUGGACAGUAACUGACGCUGAGGCGCGAAAGCGUGGGGAGCAAACAGGAUGAGAUACCCUGGUAGUCCGUGCCGUAAACGAUGAAUACUAGGUGUAGGGGGUAUCGACUCCCUCUGUGCCGCAGUUAACACAUUAAGUAUUCCACCUGGGGAGUACGGCCGCAAGGUUGAAACUCAAAGGAAUUGGCGGGG